rnacentral:rRNA from 1 species
UACGUAGGGGGCUAGCGUUGUCCGGAAUCAUUGGGCGUAAAGCGCGCGUAGGCGGCCCGGUAAGUCCGCUGUGAAAGUCAAAGGCUCAACCUUUGAAAGCCGGUGGAUACUGCCGGGCUAGAGUCCGGAAGAGGCGAGGGGAAUUCCUGGUGUAGCGGUGGAAUGCGCAGAUAUCAGGAGGAACACCAAUAGCGAAGGCAGCUCGCUGGGACGGUACUGACGCUAAGGCGCGAAAGCGUGGGGAGCGAACAGG